AUGCAUGGCCUGCUACCCUGAACAGGCCUGAUCCUGUCUGAUCUCAGAAACUAAGCAGGAUCGGGCCUGGUUAGUACUUGGAUGGAGACCACCUAGGAAGACCAGGGGCUGUAGGCA
rnacentral:rRNA from 1 species